rnacentral:lncRNA from 1 species
CAAUAUAAAAAUAGAGAAGUCUUCAUCCUCUUCUUACUGGAAAAGGAAUCCAAAGAACCUGCAACUCCCUUCUUUUAGAAAGAAGAAGCAUUAGACUAAAAUAAAGAAGAUCUAACUGAUAUAAAUAAUAAGGAGCAUAUGCCCCAGUUUUGGAGGAGAAUAGAUUGAAUGAAAGUAAAGGAAGUAUACUCUACUUUCCACCUACUAUAAUCCCAACUAAGAGAAUGAC